UCUUACGGAAAUUUUGAGCAUCCGAGACACGAUUCUCUCGGCUUUCUCCCAAGGAAGCGAGCUGCUCCUCAUCGCGAAAAUGGUUUUUUUACACUUGAUUCACACUAUCUUUUCAAUUAUUUAUUAGAUCUGUAUUUUCAUAUUUCAAAUUUGUGUUCAAAUACAUCUCUAACUUUCUUAAUAGUAGUUUCAACAAAGCUUGCUUAUAAUGCAUAACUACCUAACAUACAUCCUUACAAAUUUGUUAAAACCAUACUGCUACUAUUGGUGAACUCACUAAAGCAAUGUGGUUACUAGAGGUUUGAGGAGAAGUGUUAAUGGCGUCCAAACAAGGAGUGAAAUCAAAGCGAUUUGGUUUGAUUGGUACAGAAGCUACGAAUUCGCCUUCUUCGACGACGUCAUCUUCUAAACAGUUUCAGAAAACCUCCAAUGAUGCUCCGAGCUCGCCGACGUCGUCAUCGGUGAUAAGUAAGUCGUGUCAGUUUUAUCCAGAGACUGUGCCUAUGGAGGCUCUGAAGACUAAAGAAAAUGUUACUGUGACGGUUUGCUUUCGGCCUUUGAAGUGAGUAUUUUGUUUUCUGAAUGCUUUAGUAGUACUUUUACAUGACAGUACCAGAAAAUUAAUAAAGUGGCAAAUCAUAUAUGAUAACAUAAACUACAAAGUGGCAAUUGCAAAUGAUUUAUUAUUUAUUUUAUAGAUACUUGCUUCUAAAGAAUUAAAAGUAUUCUUUUUCCCAGUUCCAAGAUGAAUAAGUAUGACAUAUUGCAGUUAGAUUUAAAAAAUUACUUUCACAAUAGUUUUCAAAAGCAAAUGUUCUUUGUGCUGGUUGCAUGUUCAUUGUGCAGUGAAAUAAUGGGGCAUGAUAUUUUAGAUAUCCAUAAAGGUGAAAAAUUCCCUCAAAGGAUUGUCACCUGUGAGUUCUGUGAGUUUCCGUUGCCAGCAAUUGAUCUAGCAGAGCAUCAGGAAGUAUGUGGGAAUCAAAUAGGGAUGUGUCACCUUUGUAACAAAUAUGUUAGACUACGGGAAAGAUACAUUCAUGAAGUUAAUUGCAACAGACUUGAAGGCAAUGUUGCAGGGUCUUCAAGGGGUAUUCUAAGUUUUCCGGCCGAAUGUUAGAGUGUUCUCUAGCAAAUCCACGAGCUAAUCAGAAGGUUGUAGUAUCAAAUGUACAGAAUCAACGAUUACUUCCAAGUUAUCCACCACAGCUUGGUUAUGGUCUGAUAGGUUAUCCCUAUGGAGCACUUGGUGUCGGAUAUGGUGCUCCCGGUCUUGGACAGGUGAUCCGUGCUUUUAUGUUUUGAUUAGAUAUCAAUUUAACUGUUGAGAUAUCUAUUUAAUCUGAGAAUCUGAUUAUUGGAGUCGAAUAUUUUAUAAUUGAAAGCAAAGAUGCUUUUGUAUAUAAUUAAUUUGAAGCAAUCCAGUGGCAACAAUUCUACCAACAAUUUCAGUCAUAUGGCAAGCUUUUCAGGUAGAGGGCCUUCAACGCUUUCUAAGAAUACUCUCAAGCCUGAUUUUGCAGCACCAGGUGUUAACAUUCUUGCUGCAUGGACUAGAAAUGACAGAAAAACUACCCUAAAGAGAAAAAACCUCUGUUGUAUAUAUAACCUUGAAUCAGGGACUUCCAUGUCAUGUCCACAUGUUUCAGGCCUUGCAGGAAGCAUUAAAUCUAGAAA